UACGGGGGGGGCAAGCGUUGUUCGGAAUUACUGGGCGUAAAGGGCUCGUAGGUGGCCAACUCAGUCGGAUGUGAAAUCCCCAGGCUUAACUUGGGAACUGCAUCCGAUACUGGAUGGCUUGAAUCCGGGAGAGGGAUGCAGAAUUCCAGGUGUAGCGGUGAAAUGCGUAGAUAUCUGGAGGAAUACCGGUGGCGAAGGCGGCAUCCUGGACCGGAAUUGACACUGAGGAGCGAAAGCCAGGGGAGCAAACGGG
rnacentral:rRNA from 1 species